UACGGAGGGUGCAAACGUUGCUCGGAAUUAUUGGGCGUAAAGAGCUCGUAGGCGGUUUGUCGCGUCGAAUGUGAAAACCCGGGGCUCAACUCCGGGCCUGCAUUCGAUACGGGCAGACUAGAGUUCGGUAGGGGAGACUGGAAUUCCUGGUGUAGCGGUGAAAUGCGCAGAUAUCAGGAGGAACACCGGUGGCGAAGGCGGGUCUCUGGGCCGAUACUGACGCUGAGGAGCGAAAGCGUGGGGAGCGAACAGG
rnacentral:rRNA from 1 species